UCCGUUGGUGAACCAGCGGAGGGAUCAUUAGAGGGUCACAAGGCCUCCUACUGCUCUUAACCAAACCGCGUACUUGCCGGAUAUCAUGUCUCUGCCUCGGCAGCGGCCCCAGGGGGGGCCAGCAGCCCGCCUCUGGCGGGUGCUGCCGGCGGCGCACAAACCAUACAACAUUGCAAAAAUACACUUACAAACCUAUUACAACCUGCAACAACGGAUCCCUUGGCUCCAGCAUCGAUGAAGAACGCAGCGAAAUGCGAUACGUAAUGCGAAUUGCAGAUCUACCGUGAGUCAUCGAAUCUUUGAACGCACAUAGCGCCCGCCAGUACUCUGGCGGGCAUGCCCGUCCGAGCGUCGAUCGCACCGCUCGAGCCCCAUGGCUCGGUGUUGGGACGCUAGGGGCUUCAGCCCCUAGGUCCCCAAAGGUAUCGCGCGGCCCCAGGCACAGGACCCGAGCACAGUAAACACUUGCUGCUCUGGGACGCUGGCCCGAGGCGCCUGCCGUAAAACCCCCGACAUAGGCCCCUAGGGCCGACUGAUGUUGACCUCGGAUCGGGUAGGACGACCCGCUGAACUUAAGCAUAUCAAUAAGCGGAGGAAAAGAAACCAACAGGGAUUGCCCCAGUAGCGGCGAGCGAAGCGGCAAAAGCUCAGAUUUGAAAUCUGGCUGCCAUGCGGCGGCCCGAGUUGUAAUCUGCAGGGGAGUAUUCUGGUCGACGUGUCCCGCCUAAGUCCCCUGGAAUGGGGCGCCACAGAGGGUGAGAGCCCCGUGAGGCGGAGCGCGCCGGCCUAUGUGAAUCUCCUCCGACGAGUCGAGUAGUUUGGGAAUGCUGCUCUAAGCGGGAGGUAUAUUCCUUCUAAAGCUAAAUACCGGCUGGAGACCGAUAGCGCACAAGUAGAGUGAUCGAAAGGUGAAAAGCACUUUGGAAAGAGGGUGAAAUAGUACGUGAAAUUGUUGCAGGGGAAGCGCUCUUGACCAGUCGCGCGCCGCGGGGACCAGCCUCCGUUUACUCGGUGGUGUACUCCUCGUGGUUGCGGGCCAGCACCGGCUCUAGCGGUGGGACAGGCGCGCCGGGAACGUGGCCCCGCCUUCGGGUGGGGUGUUAUAGCCCGGUGUGCGUACCGCCCGCUGGGGCCGAGGAAUUCUGCGCCUAGGCUAGGAUGUUGGCAUAAUGGUCAUCAGCGUCCCGUCUUGAAACACGGACCAAGGAGUCAAGCAUUGGUGCGAGUGUUAGGGUGUCAAACCCGACCGCGUAAUGAAGGUGAACUUUCUAGGUGGGAACCCUCCGGGGGGCACCACCGACCGGGCCCGAAGCUUCUGCAGAGGGACCUGAGUAUGAGCACCACCGCUUGGACCCGAAAGAUUGCGAACUAUGCCUGUGUAGGGUGAAGCCAGAGGAAACUCUGGUGGAGGCUCGCAGCGGUUCUGACGUGCAAAUCGAUCGUCAAACA
rnacentral:misc_RNA from 1 species